rnacentral:lncRNA from 1 species
AAAAAAAUAAAGAAAUUCCAGAACCAAUGGAUAUUGAAGAAACAUAUCCUUAUGGAAAGAGAAAAUUAGAGUCAGAUAUUCAAAACGAUGAUUAUCUAAGAGCUUUAUGUAACACCCUAAUCCCGGACUAGGAGUUUAGACUGAAUUCGAAAUGCUACAUUGAUCACCGAAGUGAUCGUAGGUAAAUUUUACAAAACAAGUUACCAUGUCGAAUCAAAACAUUUACUUCUAUAAAAACUCGAAUCAGUAAAACUUCAGGAAUAAAAAUGAGUAAAACUUAAAUCGAAAUUUGUACCACAGGUUUAUAAACCAAACCGCCAAAGUCGAAUAUAAAAAAAACUAGUAAACAUAAAUUAAUACUUCAAUCUGCCGAAGCUGUCUGACACUUCUGCGUAUUGAAUCCAGCAUCUAGAAUCCAUAACUGUACCUGAAAGGGGAAAUAGAAGAGGGGGUGAGCUACUCGAGCUUAGUGUGAGACCAAAUUAAAUAAACCACAGAAACUGGAACAGGGACAAAAACUGAAAGCCUGGACGCGGUUCAACUUCAGAUGUGAAGCAGAGCUAACUUACAGAACUAAUCAGCACCGGUCGCUAUAUGCAAAGCAAACUUACCGACAGAUGACCGCUGAGCAUACUCACCCAAAAUCAAUUACCAUAGGUACCUUUCGAUCACAUGGAACAAGCAAACACACACAAUCACACGUGCCAUUUAGAUACAGUGGCAACAAUUCACAAGUUAGUCGCACAGUCACAAUAACAGUACAGUCAAGCAAUCUCAGACAAAGUCUACAGAAUUCGCAUAGGCACUAGUGCCUUUCAGUUGAUCAGUAACACAUUCAGUCAUAGUAUCAUAUUCAGUCAUGGUAUCAGUAGUUCUCAACCAUUCGCAAGUUCCAAUUCAGUCAAACUGAUCAGUCAGAUGUAUAUGAAUGCAAAUGAGUUAUAAAAUUCCCACCCAUCCAGCCAGCACACCUCUUUGUCCUCCCUCACUCCUCACCAGAGCUUUAAGCUCGUCCUGUCAAACACUCCACUUGAUCUCAUAAGGCCUAUCCAACCUUACACUCCAUAUUAUGUCAUCCGGGGUUGCCCGACAAUGAUGGACAUCAGCAUUGUCCUCGACCCUCAGGGAAUUGGGACUACCCACGACCUUCUGGGUAUUGGGGCUAACAGUAUGCAGAUAAACUGCCUGUCACGUAUAUUGCGUAUCAAAGCUAGUGUAUAAGCUGUACGGUACAAUGCGGUAAACAGCAGUACAGACAUGCAGUAUGAACUGCCAGAUCAGAUAGUAGUACGUAGCGUAGAUAAUGUACAUGUGGUACGGUGCAAUGUGGUAAUCUGCUAUACCGAUAGGUUGCAGUAAAACUGUUAGUUCAAUCAAUGAUAAGCAGCGAAGCUGACGUAUGUACUGUACGGUGCAGUGCGGUAGUCCGCAGUACAAUCAAAUUGUCCACGAUCUCAGGGUAUUGGGACCGACCAUGACCCUCUGGGUAAUAGGGCUAUCAGUCACCAACCGAUCAACUGCCAGUUUCAUAAAUCUCCCUUCUCUUCAAAAUCCCACCCAAAAUAGUUUAUGUAUAUGUAUGUAUGUAUGCAAAUGUAUGUAUGCAGAUGUACCAAUUCAGAAAGCAAUUCCGGACAAUCAUUCACAACCAAUUAAUUUGUUACAGAAGUAUAUACACCCAUACACUCAGAUUCAGUGCCUAACAUAUCACACAUCCAAUCACAACUAAAACAUAAACCGAAGUCAGAACAGAGUCGUAUCUACCUCAGUAAGCUUAGCUUAGUCGAGGGUUAGAAGACACAAAGUUGUGAUUACACUUAUAUUUGACCUAAAAUCAUUAUCUAGCAAGAUAGGGCCACACGUUAGUGUGCUCUGGCCGUGUGGAGCAUUCUAGGCCGUGUAGGGGUCCAAACGCUCGUGUGAAAGUUAGCAUACAGCCUUGUGACAGAGGCACAUGCCCAUGUGAAGCAGGGACACGACUAUAUGAAUAGGCUGUGUUGCUUACUGUCUAAUUUCGCCAAAAUAAGAUGCAGGGCAGACACAACCGUGUGAGGGUCUCACCCACCCGUGUGCCUACCAGACAUGAUCGUGAGUUUCGAAACACACACCCAUGUGGAAUCCUUAAUUCCCAAAUCAGUCACACGACUUUGUGGCUAAGCCGUGUGACCCCAAAUCUCUAGAACUCUAAUCCCUAAACUUACAUGCCCGUGUAGACCAAGGGACACGACUGUGUGAGAAACGAUAAAAUCCCCAAAUUGAUCACAUGGUCAUGUGACCAGGCCGUGUGGCACCAAAAUUGGCAUAGAACCUUAAUUCCCAAAUCCACACGGUCGUGUGCCUCGGCACACGCCCGUGUGGCCAUCGGAAAGGUCACGAAACUACCCCAAAACAGCCUCGAAAACUCUACUUUAGCCACCAAACUAUCUCAACUUAAGUAAUAUCGAAAACAUAUCAACAAUUGGAGUAUUUCUCUCACUUUCAGCAUUCAGAAAACCAAAUCUAAAUCGUUAAAAACACUCAUACACGAUUGGUCAAAUCAGAAUUCGAGAAAACUAAAAUAAUGCAGAGAAAGUUUGAAUCCUACACCUGUUUUUGACGACGAAAGAAACGACAGAGGAGUGAAACUCCAGAAUCCGCAAUUAACCUGUUUGCACAGAAAGAAAAUAGCAAAAAGAAAAAAAUGAAAAGGGGAAGAGGAACAGAAAAAAACAUGAAAAGGAAGAAGAAUAAAAAUAAAAAAUAAAAGUAAAAAUAAAUAAUAAUAAUAAUAAUAAUAAUAAACAAAUAAACUAAAUAACUAUUUUAACUUAAAACAAAAAUAAAUAAAAUUUUUUCCAAAACGCCCACACAAAGACUCAAACCAAGGACCCUGAGUCAAGCUAGCAUACACUUAACCACCAGACCAGCAAGCCUAUUCUGCCACUAAAUUGCGCCGCUAAAUACAUAAGUGCCACCUCCUCACUGACCCUAUGCUCAAAACCCAAAACUUCUAGGCCCAAAAUUUAGGGCGUUACACUUUAAAUAAAGAUUUUGAAAAAGUUGAAGAUACAAUUAGAAUUUUUGGUAAUCAAACCGAAAAUAUAGCUACUAAUGAAAUUAAAACUGAAUAUCCAGGAAAGUCAUCUAGUCAACCCAGUCAACCUAUACCACAUAGGAUUGAUUAUUUAAAUAAGAGAAAUGUAGCCCAAGGAGGAAUAUAUUUAGACUUAACUAAUAUUCCAAUAUAAGACUAUGAAAAAAACCAUAGAUGAUUGGGCAUAGUCUAUGACUAUUGUUGUAAACAACAACAAUACUUGGUCAAAACAAAAAUUUUUAAAUUAUUUUGUAGGAACUUUUUAAGACGAUGUUUUACAAUUUUUAAGACGAUGGGAAGAAUUUGAUAUAGGAAAAAUCUAAAAAGGACAAUUAAUUAACCAGAUAGGAACCCCUAAAUAUCUUUUAAAAUGAUUAACUAAUAUUCUAAAAACAGAAUUUGUACAAUAGAAAAUAAAUUAUCAGUUGUACAAUACGUUUAUUUUAAUAAAGAUAAUAGAUACUUAAUUUAACUAAUUAAUUUUUAGAAU